rnacentral:rRNA from 1 species
GACGAACGCUGGCGGCGUGCUUAACACAUGCAGGUCGAGCGAUGAAGCUUCUUCGGAAGUGGAUUAGCGGCGGACGGGUGAGUAACACGUGGGUAACCUGCCUCAUAGAGGGGAAUAGCCUUCCGAAAGGAAGAUUAAUACCGCAUAAGAUUGUAAUAUCGCAUGAUAUAGCAAUUAAAGGAGCAAUCCGCUAUGAGAUGGACCGGCGUCGCAUUAGCUAGUUGGUGAGGUAACGGCUCACCAAGGCGACGAUGCGUAGCCGACCUGAGAGGGUGAUCGGCCACAUUGGGACUGAGACACGGCCCAGACUCCUACGGGAGGCAGCAGUGGGGAAUAUUGCACAAUGGGGGAAACCCUGAUGCAGCAACGCCGCGUGAGUGAUGACGGUCUUCGGAUUGUAAAGCUCUGUCUUUAGGGACGAUAAUGACGGUACCUAAGGAGGAAGCCACGGCUAACUACGUGCCAGCAGCCGCCGCCGUAA